rnacentral:rRNA from 1 species
GAUGGAAAUUAUAUACAACUUUCAGCAACGGAUCUCUUGGCUCUCGCAUCGAUGAAGAACGCAGCGAAAUGCGAUAAGUAAUGUGAAUUGCAGAAUUCAGUGAAUCAUCGAAUCUUUGAACGCAUCUUGCGCUUCUUGGUAUUCCAAGGAGCAUGCCUGUUUGAGUGUCAU